UGUGUCAGCAGCCGCGGUAAUACAUAGGGGGCAAGCGUUAUCCGGAAUUAUUGGGCAUAAAGGGUGCGUAGGCGGCAAGUUAAGUUUAAGGUAUAAGCUCAUGGCUCAACCAUGGGAGGCUUUAGAAACUGGCUAGCUAGAGUGCAGUAGAGGCAAGUGGAAUUCCAUGUGUAGCGGUAAAAUGCGUAAAUAUAUGGAGGAACACCAGUAGCGAAGGCGGCUUGCUGGGCUGUAACUGACGCUAAGGCACGAAAGCGUGGGGAGCAAACAGGAUUAGAUACCCUGGUAGUCCACGCCGUAAACGAUGAGUACUAAGUGUCGGGGGAAUCUCGGUGCUGAAGCAAAUGUAAUAAGUACUCCGCCUGAGUAGUACGUGCGCAAGCAUGAAACUCAAAGGAAUUGACGGGACCCUGCACAAGCGGUGGAUCAUGUUGUUUAAUUCGAGGAUACGCGAAGAACCUUACCAGGCCUUGACAUCCUCUGCAAAGCUAUAGAGAUAUAGUGGAGGUUAACAGAGAGACAGGUGGUGCACGGUUGUCGUCAGCUCGUGUCGUGAGAUGUUGGGUUAAGUCCCGUAACGAGCGCAACCCUUGUUGCUAGUUGCCAUCAUUAAGUUGGGGACUCUAGCGAGACUGCCAGUGAUAAACUGGAGGAAGGCGGGGAUGACGUCAAAUCAUCAUGCCCCUUAUGGCCUGGGCUACAAACGUGAUACAAUGGCUGAAACAAAGAGAAGCGAAGGGGUGACCUGGAGCGGAACUCAUAAAAGCAGUCUCAGUUCGGAUUGGAGUCUGCAACUCGACUCCAUGAAGUCGGAAUCGCUAGUAAUCGUAGGUCAGCAUACUACGGUGAAUACGUUCUCGGGGUUUGUACACACCGCCCGUCAAACCAGGAAAGUUGGUAAUACCCAACGCCGGUGGCCUAACCUGUAAAGGAGGGAGCCGUCUAAGGUAGGAUCAAUGAUCGGGGUUAAGUCGUAACAAGGUAACCA
rnacentral:rRNA from 1 species